UUUAUUGGAGAGUUUGAUCCUGGCUCAGGAUGAACGCUGGCGGCGUGCCUAAUACAUGCAAGUCGAGCGAAUGGAUUGAGAGCUUGCUCUCAAGAAGUUAGCGGCGGACGGGUGAGUAACACGUGGGUAACCUGCCCAUAAGACUGGGAUAACUCCGGGAAACCGGGGCUAAUACCGGAUAACAUUU
rnacentral:rRNA from 1 species